UACGGGGGGGGCAAGCGUUGUUCGGAAUUACUGGGCGUAAAGGGCUCGUAGGCGGCCAACUAAGUCGGAUGUGAAAUCCCCAGGCUCAACCUGGGAACUGCAUCCGAUACUGGAUGGCUUGAAUUCGGGAGAGGGAUGCAGAAUUCCAGGUGUAGCGGUGAAAUGCGUAGAUAUCUGGAGGAAUACCGGUGGCGAAGGCGGCAUCCUGGACCGACAUUGACGCUGAGGAGCGAAAAGCCAGGGGAGCAAACGGG
rnacentral:rRNA from 1 species